UGGCCACUUAGAGCCCAGCUCCUACCUCUUCAUUCACUUAACAAGUAGUUAUUGGCUGUGCACAGUGGCUCACGCCUAUAAUCCCAGCAUUUUGGGAGGCUGAGUGGGAUGACCGCUUGAGCCCAGGAUUUCAAGUCCAGCCUGGGCUACAUAGUGAGACCGUGUCUCUGUUUUUUUAAAAGCUAGUUGUUGACCAGCUACCCUGAGCCAGGCACCACCCUGAAGGAGCUUCUUUUCCUCUGGGGAGAAGCAAAUUCAUGAUGUGUGUGCUGGAGAUCUGGCACUCAUGGCCAGUGCUUUCCAGUAUCUUGAACUCUUCGGGGGUCCUGUUGACCCAUUUCGUGACCUACCUCCGUGACUGCUCUUUUUCCUCUGUCUCUUAAGUGUGAUGGUUUUCCAGAGUCCAAUCCUCAGGACUUUCCCGUCCACACACAGGCCUGGUAGUCAGGUGGCUCUAAACCAUUAGGUGGGUUGUAGACCUCUCUCAAGCUGCCACCUCCUUGCUGUCGCCAGAUCGUAUUUCAGUCUGUCAGGGGUUAUCUGUAUCUGGAGGUUCCACUGUUGCUUCAGUCUCAGUUACUUAGAAUGGAACCCAGAGUCCUGCCCCUUUCCACCUACAUGCUCUUACUUGAAAGCACCUGAGACUUAUUGGGUCCCUGAUUCCUGCUUCGUCUGUAUCCGCAGAGUAGUUGCAUGUCAUUUGGCCUGUUUUCUAAAUAAUCCCACAUCAUGUCCUCCCUGCACUUACAUUGCCACUGCUCUGAUUUGGGCUUUUUUUUUUUUGGGACAAUGCCUCUGUCCCAAUUCUGAGUAACAGCUCUGGUUCUUGCCACUACCAGAGUUCUCUAGCAAAUCUGAGCAUCUGACAGGGUGAAAAAUUCUGAAUGGCUUCCUGAUGCCUGACUUUAUGGGAUCAAAUUCAAGUUGCACGCUGGCACUCAGUGCCCUUCUGGUAUCAUCUGCCAAGACCAGGGCCUGCUUCACCACAGCCACAAUAAAGUCCUUUCAAGCCCUGAUAAUGCCAUGUUUUGUCCUAACCUUUUGCUGCAGUUAAUUACUCUUCCUAUUAUCUUCCAUGAACUUAAGACUGGGCAAAAAUGUUUCCUUAUCUGUGAGCCACUCUGAACACAAACAGGUCAUGAAGAUAGUGUUGAAAACAAUAAAUGACAACCAAAAGAAAAGUGAAUAUUACCUAGUACAAAUAGUGUAAAUUGAGACAGAAAAUGUUAAAGCUAGAAAGCAAGGGCAAUAUUCUAGAAUACAAAUAGUGCUUGCCUACUACAAUAUUAAUCCCAAAUCCUUUAAAUAUACCCAUUAUAGAAGAUGCUUACCCAGCGUCAAGAGUAUAAAAGUGGGUUUGUUUGUUUUCUUGAGACAGGGCUUUGCUCUGUUGCCCAGGCUGGAGUGCAGUGGCGUGAUUGUAGCUCAAUGCAGCCUUGAAUUCCUGUGUUCAGGCGAUCCUCCGGCUUCAGCCUCUGGAGUAGCUGGGACUACAGGUGCAUGCUGCCACGCCCAGCUAAUGUUGCAGUUUUUCGUAAAGACUGGAUCUCUGUGUUACCCAGGCUGGUCUCCUGGGCUCAAGCAGUCCUCCUGCCUUGACCUCCCAAAGUGCUGGGAUUACAGGCAUGAGCCACCAUGUCCUGACCCCAGUUUGUUUUAAAGCCAAGCGAUGCACCAAGAUGUUUGUGUGCACAUCUGACAGUGGUAAUCUUUGGGUCAGGG
rnacentral:lncRNA from 1 species